UAGAGAUAGAGCCUUCCCCUUCGGGGGACAAAGUGACAGGUGGUGCAUGGUUGUCGUCAGCUCGUGUCGUGAGAUGUUGGGUUAAGCCCCGCAACGAGCGCAACCCUUAAACUUAGUUGCCAGCAUUAAGUUGGGCACUCUAAGUUGACUGCCGGUGACAAACCGGAGGAAGGUGGGGAUGACGUCAAAUCAUCAUGCCCCUUAUGAUUUGGGC
rnacentral:rRNA from 1 species